AAAGUCGUAACAAGGUUUCCGUAGGUGAACCUGCGGAAGGAUCAUUAACACAUGAAUCUAAACAAUCAUGUUUUAUUAAAUUAAACCUAAACUAAACAAAACUCUGUGAACCGUAACAUAGGGGUGUGAAGAACACCCCACAACCCAAUCUCAUUUCAUAUUUAAUUAAUGAUGAGAAUUUUUCUAACAAAUAAACCCAAACUAACCCUAAUUUAACGUAACGCAGGAGAUAUACAUUCUUUAUCGAUGGUAUAUUGAUGCGACUAAACAAUCACUUCUAUAUCCUAACGGGUUAGAUUUUAAUUAAAUAAACAAAAAUACAACUCUUAACAAUGGAUAUCUUGGCUCUC
rnacentral:misc_RNA from 1 species